rnacentral:tRNA from 1 species
GGUGGUAUAGCUCAGUCAUAGAGUGUGUGCUUAGCAUGCAUGAAGUCCUGGGUUCAAUCCCCAGUGUGUCCU